GACGAACGCUGGCGGCGCGCUUAACACAUGCAAGUCGAGCGAGAACCGGGACUUCGGUCCCGGGGACAGCGGCGAACGGGUGAGUAACACGUGGGUAAUCUGCCCUCGAUUCUGGGAUAGCCCGGGGAAACCCGGAUUAAUACCGGAUAGCCUUUCGAGCCUUCGGGCGCGAAAGAAAAGGUAGCUUCGGCCUCCGAUCGAGGAUGAGCCCGCGGUGGAUUAGCUUGUUGGCGGGGUAAUGGCCCACCAAGGCGACGAUCCAUAGCUGGUCUGAGAGGACGAUCAGCCACACUGGGACUGAGACACGGCCCAGACUCCUACGGGAGGCAGCAGUGGGGAAUCUUGCGCAAUGGGCGAAAGCCUGACGCAGCGACGCCGCGUGGGGAAGAAGGCCUUAGGGUUGUAAACCUCUUUCAGGUGGGACGAAGCCACUCGGGUGAAUAGCCCAGAGGGUGACGGUACCGCCAGAAGAAG
rnacentral:rRNA from 1 species